AUAUAGCUCAACGGUAGAGCAGCUGGCUUUUAACUAGAAGGUUCUGAGUUCGAAUCUCAGUA
rnacentral:tRNA from 1 species